UAUACCGUGAAACUGCGAAUGGCUCAUUAAAUCAGUUAUCGUUUAUUUGAUAGUACCUUACUACUUGGAUAACCGUGGUAAUUCUAGAGCUAAUACAUGCUGAAAACCCCAACUUCGGGAGGGGUGUAUUUAUUAGAUAAAAAACCAAUGCCCUUCGGGGCUUCUUGGUGAUUCAUGAUAACUUUACGGAUCGCAUGGCCUUGCGCCGGCGACGGUUCAUUCAAAUUUCUGCCCUAUCAACUUUCGAUGGUAAGGUAUUGGCUUACCAUGGUUUCAACGGGUAACGGGGAAUUAGGGUUCGAUUCCGGAGAGGGAGCCUGAGAAACGGCUACCACAUCCAAGGAAGGCAGCAGGCGCGCAAAUUACCCAAUCCCGACACGGGGAGGUAGUGACAAUAAAUACUGAUACAGGGCUCUUUUGGGUCUUGUAAUUGGAAUGAGUACAAUUUAAACCUCUUAACGAGGAACAAUUGGAGGGCAAGUCUGGUGCCAGCAGCCGCGGUAAUUCCAGCUCCAAUAGCGUAUAUUAAAGUUGUUGCAGUUAAAAAGCUCGUAGUUGAAACUUGGGUCUGGCUGGCAGGUCCGCCUCACCGCGUGUACUUGUCCGGCCGGGCCUUCCUUCUGGAGAACCUCAUGCUCUUCACUGGGCGUGUUGGGGACCAGGACUUUUACUUUGAAAAAAUUAGAGUGUUCAAAGCAGGCCUUUGCUCGAAUACGUUAGCAUGGAAUAAUAGAAUAGGACGUGCGGUCCUAUUUUGUUGGUUUCUAGGACCGCCGUAAUGAUUAAUAGGGACAGUCGGGGGCAUCAGUAUUCAAUUGUCAGAGGUGAAAUUCUUGGAUUUAUUGAAGACUAACUACUGCGAAAGCAUUUGCCAAGGAUGUUUUCAUUAAUCAGUGAACGAAAGUUAGGGGAUCGAAGACGAUCAGAUACCGUCGUAGUCUUAACCGUAAACUAUGCCGACUAGGGAUCGGGCGAUGUUCUUUUUCUGACUCGCUCGGCACCUUACGAGAAAUCAAAGUU
rnacentral:rRNA from 1 species